CUGGUAUUGAUAUGUAAAAUAAUAUUGUUUCUAAUUUAAAUAAAUAUGUUUUAAAAAUCAAAAUUUCUACACAAGGACCACAUAUAUAAUGAAGAUGGCAUGCAGCAUUGUAGAAAGUUAAAGGAAUAGUCUGAAGGCAGGUAUAGUAACUUAAACAUGCUUAUUCUGUAUGACAUAACCACAAGAUUAUAUCCUAGAAGACACUAUAUUAUGUUAUGUUAUAUUAUAUUAUAUUAUAUUAUAUUAUAUUAUAUCAGUUAACAGAAAUACUUUUAGGUACACCAGUAUCUUUCAGAAGUGGUGUUUCGGCUAUUCUCAGAAUCAAGUGUUAAAAAUAUAUAUUUUGGGUGGUUCCACAAUAUUUAGAUAUAAAUGAGUGAUAAAAUUCUGACUUUAUGGAGGUGAGGUAUCAGCAGUUACCAUUUAAGAUCAAGGUGAAUCUAAUCAUCAUAGAAGACAAAGGGAAUUCAUAACACACUGCAAAUUUGGCAUGCCAGAGUCUAAAGAAGUCAUAAACUAUGGUACUUUCAGGAAAGUUUCAAUGAACAAUUAAUAAGUCAGAAGCUUGUGAUGAAAGAUAUAGUGUUUACUGUCAUAGAUAUAAUUCAUUAAUCCUUUACCAGAUCUGAGUCCCAAAGACCCAUAAUCAUUAAGAAGUAUUCUGUGACUCCUAACACAGGUCUACCACUGUGAACAAUAAUAUAUAACAUUUCUCACAUUCUUCCUUAAAAGAGAGUAUACUCCUAGAGUAGAAAAACAACAUAGAUGAAAGUGAAUAUUUAGAUAUUUUGAAGGAUCCUAGAAUGUAUAUUUCUCCUUCAGUCAUAAGUAUGAAAAGCCACUGUGGACUCACUGUCAGAGUACAAGAUUCUAGAUCAUAGACUAUUGGUGCAGGCUUGACUUACACUGAUCUUUAUGAAAGCCUAAGGCUACCAUGGAAACAACCUAGAAAAAAGAGAAAAUGUUAAAAUGUUUGCUCACGCACCAAACAUACCUGAAAACAUGUUCAGGGCCCAGUUAGACAUAAGAAGCAUAUACCCCUGUGCUUUAUGGUAAAUACUCAAUGCAUGGCUGACUUCAUUCUUCCCACAAUGAGGCUAUAACAUUCAUAUUAUAUUCACAAGCCUUGACACUUCAUAAACUGCAACUGGUGUCUUGAAUUCUUUAUAUAUUUUGAAAAUGAGCCCUCUGUCACGUGUGGGGUUGGUGCAGAUCCUUUCCUAUUUUGAUGCCUGCCACUUUUUAUUGAUGGUGGCCUUUGUCUUAAAGAAACUCUUCAUUUUUAUGAGGACCCAUUUAUCAAUUUUAGAUCUUAUUACCUGUGCUAUUGGUAUUCUCGUCAGGAAGUUGUCUCCUGUGCCAAUCCAUUCAAGGCUACUUUCCAGUUUCUCUUCUGUCAGGUUCAGUGUAUCUGGAUUUAUGUUGAGGCCAUUGAUUUACUUGACUUGAGUUUUGUUCAUGGUGAUACACAUGGAUCUAUUUGCAUCAUUUAGCAUGUGUAUAUCCAGUUAAACCAGUGCCAAUUUUUGAACAUGAUUUCUUUUGUAUUGUAUAAUUUUGGAUUCUUUGUCAAAAACAGCUACCUAUAGGUGUGUGGAUUUAUGUCUAGGUCUUUGAUUCAUUUUCAUGAACCUAUCUGUCUGUUUUUUUGCUAAUACUGUGCAGUUUUUAUUUCUAAAUCUCUGUAGAGUUGCUUGAAAUCAUUGAUGGUUCUACCUCUCAAAGUUCUUUUAUUGUACAGGAUAAUUUUAGGAGGAAACUAGAUAUAAACAAACCAAAUAAUCCAGUUUUAAAAUGGGGUACAAAUUUAAACAGAAUUCUCAAGCAUCUCAAAUGCCCUAUAAACAUUUAAGGAAAUGCUCAACAUCCUUAGCCAUUAGUAAAGUGCAAAUCAAAAUGAUGAGAUUUUCAUCUUAUAUCUAUCAGAAUGGCUAAGAUCAAAAACAUAAGUGACAUCUCAUGCUAGGGAGGAUGUGGAUCAAGGGGGACUCUCCUCCAUUGCUGGUGGGAGUACAAAUUUGAACAGUAACUUUGGAAGUCACUGUAGUGGUUUCUCAGAAAACUGGGAAUUAUUUUACUACAAGACCCAGAUAUACCAUCCUUGGGGCAUAUACACAAAGGAUGCUCAAUCAUGCCACAAGAACAUUUGUUCAACUAAGUUCAUAGCAGCUUAAUUCAUAAUAGCUAGAACCUAGAUAUCACAUAACCAAGGAAUGGAUAAAAAUGGGCUACAUUUACACAAUAGAGUAUUUCCCAACAGUUAAAAACAAGGACAGCAGAACAUCUUUAAGCCAAUGGAUAGAACAAGAAAAAAAUCAUUCUGAAUGAGGUAACUGAGACCAAGAAAGUCAAACAUAAUAUGUACUCAUUCAUAAAUGGAUAUUAGCUGUAAAAUAAAGUAUAACUAUGCUACAAUCCAUAGACCCAGAAAAACUAUGUAAUAAGGUUGUUUCAUGGGGGGAUGUCCAUAUCACCACAGAAUGGGGAAAUAGAAUGUAUUUCAUCAGUGGGGUGAGGGCAGGUGAUUAUGGGAACAUGAGCAAGCUGAUUAAGGGAAAAUGGAGCAGGAGAGUAAAGAAUGAGACUACUGGAAAGGGGGAUCACUUAGGGUGAGGUAAGAAACCUGGAGUAAGGGAAUGCCCAUGAAUCAAAGGUAGUUUCCUAACAUGAGUUCAUACAUUACCACAAGAGUCAAAAUGAAAUCUCCAUAGUCAGAUUAUUGGAGCCCAAAUACAGGACCCUCCUACAGUAGAUUCAUUGUUCCUCAUACAUCUGUAUAUUGUUCAAUGUGGACACUAGAAUGUUUCAGACAAAAAUCACCCUAAUUGAAAGUUUUGGGAACUAAAGUACAUUCUGUGAUUUCUAGUACUCAGCAUCACAGGGUCUUGUUUAACCUCUCAUCUUAUGUUGAGGGCAAACAAGCCACAUAGUAUUGAUGGUACUGAAGGCUUCCCAGCUGGAGUUAUCUGAGAAGUUUUCCAACAGAUUCAAUGGCUUAAAUAUUAAAACAAAACAAGAUAAUGUUUUUACAGAUGAUUCUUUAGGCAUCAAUAACUUCCAUAAUUGGUAUGCAGAAGAAAAACAAGUUAGUUUUAGUAUAUGCAUCUCACUGAUACAUUUGUUACACUAACAAAAUAUCUUAUUCAAAUCUUAUUAAAGAAUUAUCUAUUUUUGAGGACAAAUAAAUAUGCCCAAUGGAAUUAAUGUACCAAUAGAGAAAACAACAAUCAAUAAACCAUAUGAAUUCUCAUAAAGACAUAUGCACCCAUAUAUGAGCACAUGUACUUAUCAUCUAUGUGUCCAUCUGCCUGUCUAUCUAUCUAUAUCUAUAUGUCCUUUCACUAUAUUUCUUUGUGUAUGCAUGCUUCCCUUUUCAGAUUUCAUCUUUAAGCUUUAUUUUUUAUGGAAAAUUUCAAGGGUUGACAUUUAGACAGAAUGUAAAGAGGUAUUAUUAACUAAGUAGAGGAGAUAGUUAUAAAUAGAGCUUUAAAUGUUGAUUGGAUUUUGUGGAGUUAAUGAAUACCAAGUUAACAAAUAAUAGUAAUACUGAUUGGAUUAAAGAACUAGAAAUGAGAGGUGGAGGGAAUGAAUAUAGAGGAGGGAUAAGAAUAUGCAAGAUCUUAGAACAACUGCAAUAUUUUCUAUUUUCUGUUAUUUUAAUUGAAAUUCAUUGGCUGUACUGAUAUGGCAAGUACUAAACCAACCUGGUUUGAAAUUUCAGAUUGAUGUUUUCAUUAUGUGUAGAGAUUAAGAUGUUAGCAAACAGCGAAGAGAGAGACUGGUGAAGUACACUUUUGUGAUGGGGCUAUCCAAUGGCAUCAGAAUGAAAUGCUGAGACAUUUGUGCAAUAAAAACAGUUCAUAAUUAUUUUUUAUUCUACACUAUACAUGUAUAUAAGUUACAACAAUAUUUCUUAAUGUCUACUCAAUAUAAUCUCAUACAAAUCUAUGAGUUCCAAUGCUUCAUUUAAAUAACAGAAAGUGAGAUUCUAAAAGGAACAACUAAAAGCAGUCACUAGUGGCCAUAACAUAACAGAGAAAAUAAAAGUCUACAAUUAAAAAUGUUGAAUUCCAAUAACAGGAAGAUAUUUCCAUCUUCAGGAAAAUAUCUUAACCUUUAAACAUUGUCAAAUUUCUAAAGUCAUAAGCCAUAUUUCAAAGUAUGGGCUAACAAGAAGGCAAUGUUAGAAUCAUUUCCAAACAAUGACAAAGCACAAAAUCGCAUGUGAUAUAUGGUUUUUCUUUAAAUAUUUUCAAUGAAGAUGGCUAACGUGGAGGGAAUUAGCCAGUCUGAAAUACAAUUUACAGAUAUUGAAUAAUCAUUCUCUCCUUGUAGAUGAUAUAUCUCACUGUAUCCUGCCAGCCAUUAAUCACUUUUAUGGAAUUACAAUUUGGUUUCCACUAACUGUGAUUUACUUAGUGUGGGUUGAUUUAUGUCAUGGAGAAUUUGUUUAGUUAAUGGAACAUUUUAAUUUAUGACAGAAGGAAGCUUUGGAUAUCUCAAUUGCAUUACUAUUGACUGUCAUUCAAAAUUUUCAAUGAGAUGAACAGAGAUAGAAGCAUGUUGUUUCAGUUACACCUAGUACUGGUAGAGCACAGGUUGGGAACUAAAACCAUGAGAAAACAGCUCCAUUUAUAUUUGCUUUUCACAACUUUGAACUUACUAUUGCACUUAUUACUGACAUAUGGUCUUGUCUGUUAAGUCUUUCAGCGAAGGCUUACUGGAAACCAGUGAGAGAUUUCAUAAUGUAGUGUCAUCAGAAUGCUGUUGGCAUCCAGCCCUGGGUCUCCUUUCAUCUGUCCAGAUGGUUCAGAUCCUGUACUCAUUCAGUGUUUUUCAGAGAUAAAGAAUAAAACACUGUCACUACUGGUCUACAGUGCUGAUUUCAGCACAACAUUUGUGGUUCAAGAAGGCCAGCAACAAAUCCUCAUACAACUGGAGAGAAACUGUCAUUAUAUAAAUAGUUCCUUCUGGAGAUAGAAACAUGAAACCUGGAAUAAAAACAAGUUUAGAAGCUCAAAGGAAAUUGGGAUAGAUGCCUGAAUAGACUUCAUUUGGAAGAUUUGACAUCCACAUUUGAAGAAGACAAUUGUAUCCUUAUCUUAUACAUUAAACAACAAUUACUUAAAAUAGAUUAAAAGUGUCAACAAGUAACCUGAAACCACAAAAAUUUUAGAAGAAAAUGUAGAAGGUUCCAUGGCAUCAUCAUUAACAGGCUGACAAAUAAAAACAAAUAAUACAGUAAAAUUGAAAAAAAGAAAAAAUAGUAAUGAACAAGGCAAAAUGUUAAUCUUGUAGUAGAUAAAAUAUUUUAAAUUGUUUACAAGAGUUUAAUUUCUAAACUACAUUAGAAAUUUAUAUAGAACAACAGGUGCUGAGAUCAGAGGGAAAGUCAGUUUCUUCCAAGAAUGAGUUCUUUCAUAGGUUUCACUAUCCCAAGAUGAUAUAUAUAUAUCAUUUAUAUUUAUGACUCAAUAUAUGUUUAUACACACACAUAAACACACCACUCACUGAGCCCUUGCAAAAACCUUAUUUUCUAGGAAUUUUUGUGAAUAUGUAGUGAAAUUUAUAUCUUCCCUCAAAUAAUGAUGGAUAAUUACUGUAAAGUAGCACUGUUGUCUUCUUUGCAUUGGUAUUCAAAAGAUCUAAAAUAUGGUAAUGAGGAGUUUUUUGAAGGAUGGAUGGGAAAAUUAUUAUUUAUGGUAUGAUAGCAUAUAUCUCUAAAAAGAGUUCCUUCCUUUCACAAACCAUAGGUAAAACUACUAUAAAUUUCCUAAUGAAAUAAGUCUGACCUAAAGAAAAAUACUGUAUAGACUUACAUUAUGAGGAAUCUUGAGGAAAAGCAGGAUGUUUAGAGAGGAAGUCAGUAGUUACUGGGAUAGGUUUAGGAAAGGUACAGACAAAAAUAUAAAGCUAUAGCAAUGUAGGGCAUAGGCUCUAGAGUGCUGAUUUUGAGAAUGAGAAAUAGUCACCAAUUUGAUCUACUGCAACAUGAUACAACAUUAGAAUAUUGUAUGUGGUCUUACUACAUGCAUACACAUAAGCCUGCAGGAAAUGAUAGCUUAUGCUAAUUUGUUUGACUAUAUUAACUAUAUUUACUAGUUAAUUAUACUUGUACAUCAUGUUGCACACAUUGGUUACAUAAUUAUUUUUGAGGUUUCAAUAUUUUAUUUAAGUUAUUUUAAGUGAUGUCAUUCACAGCAUUUGCAUGGGUGGAGCUAAUUCUACACAAAAUAGAAGACUAUAAUGUUCCUAUUAAACUUCUAAAAACAUAAGAGUGGUAAGGCUGUAACAGAAGUCAGUUUAGAUCCUUAGUUUUGUCAUGGUGAGACCUCAAUCACCUUCCCAAGUCAGAGCUGGAAAUCCUAGAAGCUAUUUCAUACUUUAGUGUAAUGGCAAAAAAGGAAAGACAGAAGAAGGGAAGAAGGAAGGAAGGAAGCAAGGAAGGAAGGAAAGAAAACUGCAUUACCACACAAGGAAGAAUUAAGUAAUGAAUUCCUGAAUGAAUGGCUCCAUCAUGCCCACUCCAUCUCCACCCUAAAAUGGCACAAAAGAAAUAACUAACGUUCUGUCCAGAGAGCCAGGUAUGGAUUGAACAGAGGCGCCUUUGGCCUGAUGAAAAGCCCUUUAAGUUUAUAUUUAUUUACAACCAAAAUAAACCUAAAAACCUUGAGCUUGUGACUGAACAGUAGGUAGUCACUACCUUAUCAGCUUCCAAGUUGACUACAGUCUUGUGGAUCUGACUGCCUGAUGCUGCCAAGCUGACAACCAUUAAUAUUUCAUAGAUCUGAGAACUGUAAAUAUUAUAUAGUUUCGGAACCUAAUAAAAAGUGACAGGAGCUAGUCCAUAUACAAUUAGCCAUACCCAAGUCUCUCCAUUAGCUUUGGAGGCAGAAGUAUCAAAGAACAGCAAUCUUCGCCAGGCCUAAAAGUUUAAACAUGUCUUAAACGGGUUUCUGCUUCUGGCAGACACAUCUGAGUAUCAGUUGCUGACUAUGCCUGCCCCUAAAGAACUGUGUGCCCUGGACUUGCUGUGGAUGUGAACCAGUCCAGCUGAUGUGGACACCCCCUGUCUCUUCAACAGAGUCUGUCAACCAGAUGCUUCCCCAUUACCUGAAUUUCCUUUUUGCUUUUGACUAGCAUGUCAGUCUUCUUGGGUCCCUAACUUUGUCCCAAAGUCAGCAGGAAUUAGCAUGGGAAAUAAUAUGUCGCCCAUUUUCCCUGGUUGAAAUGCUAAGUCAAAAUAAACUCCCAUAAAUAGGGCAUGCCAAUAUCACUCACUCACUCCAUGAUGAGGAUGCCAGAGAGACAGCAAUUCCAUGAUUGGAAUAUCUAAAAAGAAAAUGGGGGAAAGAAGAGACCAGCUCCCCAUUUUGGCAGCCAUAACAGCCUAACAUGUGCUUGCCUGACCUUGCCUUGGUCACUAGGAGGUCAGAUGCCUGCCUCGUGGCAAGGAAUCAAUCAGAAGUUACCUGGUGGUGCUAUGCUUUAUGGCUCUGAGUGUGCUUUAUGGACAAGUGCACAGCAAUGACAUGCAGAGCAUAGCAACCACCCUGCGAGUUCCUAGAGGCCAUAACAACCAGUUGACCAAUCAACACAAGGCAAGUUCUCCAAGCCUGGAGGCACACCAAUCCUGAGCCUGUGUGUACCCCUAGACACUCCCCUUACCCUACCCUAUAAGAUCUUUGUCCUGUGUUUUUUUGGGGUCUUUUUCCAG
ensembl:lncRNA